rnacentral:rRNA from 1 species
GUGGGGAAUAUUGGACAAUGGGGGGAACCCUGAUCCAGCCAUGCCGCGUGUGUGAAGAAGGCCUUUUGGUUGUAAAGCACUUUAAGCGAGGAGGAGGCUACCGAGAUUAAUACUCUUGGAUAGUGGACGUUACUCGCAGAAUAAGCACCGGCUAACUCUGUGCCAGCAGCCGCGGUAAUACAGAGGGUGCAAGCGUUAAUCGGAUUUACUGGGCGUAAAGCGCGCGUAGGUGGCCAAUUAAGUCAAAUGUGAAAUCCCCGAGCUUAACUGGGGAAUUGCAGUCGAUACUGGUUGGCUAGAGUAUGGGAGAGGAUGGUAGAAUUCCAGGUGUAGCGGUGAAAUGCGUAGAGAUCUGGAGGAAUACCGAUGGCGAAGGCAGCCAUCUGGCCUAAUACUGACACUGAGGUGCGAAAGCAUGGGGAGCAAACAGGAUUAGAUACCCUUGUAGUCC